CAGCUGGGAAAUGAGAGCCAGCGGCAACGCCGACGGUAGAGUUAUCAGGCCAGGGGUAGCCACGCAUGCCUGCGUGAACAUUUCCGUGUAAGCAAGUCAGUCAUGGUAUCAAUCCUAUAUGUUCAUUCGUGCAUGUAGCAGUACAGACAAGCGCUUCCAACGGGGAACAUUCCAGACACCAACACUGCUGCUGGUCACUGCGUGCCAGCCACAUACCUGGAACCACCUCAGCACGCAUGUCCGGAAUGCCAACCGCUGCUGCAGCUCCGGGACUCAUACUCGCCCCGCGUUGAAUUUCCGCAGUGAUCCGCUGCACAUCGGCCGCGCUGGGACCGCCCGCCCCUGCGGCAUCCGGCAUCGCUGUGCCCGCCGAGAAUCCCACCGCCUGCAUAGCCGCAGCGCCUACAUUUUCCAACGCGUUUCGCAUUGCUGCACGCAGGCCAACCCGCUCCGGGCUGUCCGGAGCUCCUGCCGCCGACGCAUCCAUGCAUCCGCCUGUGAACUGCUCACAACUCCCUAACAACCUAAGCUACUGCAUGACGCGUACGUUGGCUAAUUACAUGCGACCGAUGCGACGGGAUAUAAGCGGGCGACCUUGCAUGGAUAAUUCGGCAAUUUCCCGAAAAUGGCCCAUUUUCCUGCGCGACCUGGUGACAUAUAUAUACACAUAGAUUAGCACUGAUCAUAUUUCUG
rnacentral:lncRNA from 1 species